rnacentral:rRNA from 1 species
GAACGCUAGCUACAGGCUUAACACAUGCAAGUCGAGGGGCAUCAGGAAGAAAGCUUGCUUUCUUUGCUGGCGACCGGCGCACGGGUGAGUAACACGUAUCCAACCUGCCCUUUACUCGGGGAUAGCCUUUCGAAAGAAAGAUUAAUACCCGAUAGUAUAAUGAUUCCGCAUGGUUUCAUUAUUAAAGGAUUCCGGUAAAGGAUGGGGAUGCGUUCCAUUAGGUUGUUGGUGAGGUAACGGCUCACCAAGCCUUCGAUGGAUAGGGGUUCUGAGAGGAAGGUCCCCCACAUUGGAACUGAGACACGGUCCAAACUCCUACGGGAGGCAGCAGUGAGGAAUAUUGGUCAAUGGGCGCUAGCCUGAACCAGCCAAGUAGCGUGAAGGAUGAAGGCUCUAUGGGUCGUAAACUUCUUUUAUAUAAGAAUAAAGUGCAGUAUGUAUACUGUUUUGUAUGUAUUAUAUGAAUAAGGAUCGGCUAACUCCGUGCCAGCAGCCGCGGUAAUACGGAGGAUCCGAGCGUUAUCCGGAUUUAUUGGGUUUAAAGGGAGCGUAGGUGGACUGGUAAGUCAGUUGUGAAAGUUUGCGGCUCAACCGUAAAAUUGCAGUUGAUACUGUCAGUCUUGAGUACAGUAGAGGUGGGCGGAAUUCGUGGUGUAGCGGUGAAAUGCUUAGAUAUCACGAAGAACUCCGAUUGCGAAGGCAGCUCACUGGACUGCAACUGACACUGAUGCUCGAAAGUGUGGGUAUCAAACAGGAUUAGAUACCCUGGUAGUCCACACAGUAAACGAUGAAUACUCGCUGUUUGCGAUAUACAGUAAGCGGCCAAGCGAAAGCAUUAAGUAUUCCACCUGGGGAGUACGCCGGCAACGGUGAAACUCAAAGGAAUUGACGGGGGCCCGCACAAGCGGAGGAACAUGUGGUUUAAUUCGAUGAUACGCGAGGAACCUUACCCGGGCUUAAAUUGCAGUGGAAUGAUGUGGAAACAUGUCAGUGAGCAAUCACCGCUGUGAAGGUGCUGCAUGGUUGUCGUCAGCUCGUGCCGUGAGGUGUCGGCUUAAGUGCCAUAACGAGCGCAACCCUUAUCUUUAGUUACUAACAGGUUAUGCUGAGGACUCUAGAGAGACUGCCGUCGUAAGAUGUGAGGAAGGUGGGGAUGACGUCAAAUCAGCACGGCCCUUACGUCCGGGGCUACACACGUGUUACAAUGGGGGGUACAGAAGGCAGCUAGCGGGUGACCGUAUGCUAAUCCCAAAAGCCUCUCUCAGUUCGGAUCGAAGUCUGCAACCCGACUUCGUGAAGCUGGAUUCGCUAGUAAUCGCGCAUCAGCCACGGCGCGGUGAAUACGUUCCCGGGCCUUGUACACACCGCCCGUCAAGCCAUGGGAGCCGGGGGUACCUGAAGUACGUAACCGCAAGGAUCGUCCUAGGGUAAAACUGGUGACUGGGGCUAAGU